rnacentral:rRNA from 1 species
GACGAACGCUGGCGGCGUGCCUAAUACAUGCAAGUAGAACGCUGAAGGAGGAGCUUGCUUCUCUGGCUGAGUUGCGAACGGGUGAGUAACGCGUAGGUAACCUGCCUGGUAGCGGGGGGUAACUAUUGGAAAGGAUAGCUAAUACAGCAUAAUAGUAGAUGUUGCAUGACAUUUGCUUAAAAGGUGCAAUUGCAUCACUACCAGAUGGACCUGCGUUGUAUUAGGUAGUUGGUGGGGUAACGGCUCACCAAGGCGAAGAUACAUAGCCGACCUGAGAGGGGGAUCGGCCACACUGGGACUUAGACACGGCCCAGACUCCCACGGGAGGCAGCAGUAGGGGAUCAUCGGCAAUGGACGGAAGUCUUACCGAAGAACGCCGCGGGAGUGAAGGAAGUUUUCGGAGCGUAAAGCUCUGUUUUAAGAGAAGAACGAGUGGGAGGGUGGAAAGUUCACGCUCUGACGGUAUCUUACCAGAAAGGGACGGCUAACUACGUG